GAUGAACGCUAGCGGCAGGCCUAAUACAUGCAAGUCGGACGGGAUUCAGGAGCUUGCUUCUGAUGAGAGUGGCGCACGGGUGCGUAACACGUAUGUAACCUACCUUUAUCAGGGGGAUAGCCUCUCGAAAGAGAGAUUAAGCCCGCAUAAAAUCACAGCACAGCAUUGUGUAAUGAUCAAAUAUUUAUAGGAUAAAGAUGGGCAUGCGGAACAUUAGCUAGAUGGCGGGGUAACGGCCCACCAUGGCGACGAUGUUUAGGGGAUCUGAGAGGAUGGCCCCCCACACUGGUAUUGAGACACGGACCAGACUCCUACGGGAGGCAGCAGUAAGGAAUAUUGGUCAAUGGGCGGAAGCCUGAACCAGCCAUGCCGCGUGCAGGAAGACGGCCCUACGGGUUGUAAACUGCUUUUAUACGGGAAUAAACCCAGAUACGUGUAUCUGGCUGAAUGUACUGUAAGAAUAAGGAUCGGCUAACUCCGUG
rnacentral:rRNA from 1 species